UGCCAAGGACUGCGGAGGGCAGCCACCACUCACUCUCCAUUAGCAUUCAGCGGCACUGCCACCUUGCAAAGGAGAAAGCCACCCUCGUAAACAUCGGGAGAGGAGAUAAAAGCACUUAGUGCAGGCUGUUUCUGCAGAGCAGGCCAGCAACAGCAUGUGUACCCCAAGGGGAGGCAGAGGAUGGGGUUCAGCAUGCUCUUCGUGCCCUCAGACCCACUGUACCCCUGUGGUGCCCAGUGACGUGGUGGUGCAGAGCUGAUUGGGCUGUGCAUCUGAGCAGCCUCAGAAGCUGCAUUUCUACUUGAGCAGCUUGCUGGAGGCACAGCACAAGCCCUGGCAGGAAGCACAAGCAGUCCUGCGUGGAUGUGAGACCAGCCUGGGAGGCCCUUCCCUGGUUUGUACAGGGGUGAACAUGGAGGAGGCAUCUCAGCAGUAUGUCCAAUAUUUCACAUGAUGCCUGCUUGUUGCCCUGUAUUUAAAAAUAUUUUUUUAAAUAAAAUAAAAUAAAAUAAAAUAAAAUAAAAUAAAAU